UCAAGUGACUAAGUGCAUGCGGCGGAUGCCUUGGCGAUCACAGGCGAAGAAAGACGCGGCAGCCUGCGAAAAGCUGCGGGGAGCUGGCAAACGAGCUUUGAUCCGCAGAUAUCUGAAUGGGGGAACCCACACCGCAAGGUGUAUCCGUAGCUGAAUACAUAGGUUACGGAGGCGAACGAGGAGAACUGAAACAUCUAAGUAUCCUCAGGAAAAGAAAUCAACCGAGAUUCCGGCAGUAGCGGCGAGCGAACCCGGAGGAGCCCAGCUUUUGAUAGUACGAACUUUAGCCGAAAGGUCCUGGAAAGGCCUGCUAUAGUGGGUGAUAGCCCCGUAGGCGAAAGAGUUGGUACGGUACUAAGGAAGCGAGAAGUAGAGCGGGACACGUGGAAUCCUGUUCGAAGACGGGGGGACCAUCCUCCAAGGCUAAAUACUCGUGAUCGACCGAUAGUGAACCAGUACCGUGAGGGAAAGGCGAAAAGAACCCCGGGAGGGGAGUGAAAUAGAACCUGAAACCGCAUGCAUACAAACAGUAGGAGCCUCAUCAGAGGUGACUGCGUACCUUUUGCAUAAUGGGUCAGCGACUUACAUUCUGUGGCGAGCUUAACCGAAUAGGGGAGGCGCAGCGAAAGCGAGUUCGAAAUGAGCGUCCAGUCGCAGGGUGUAGACCCGAAACCAGAUGAGCUAUCCAUGGCCAGGUUGAAGGUGUGGUAACACACACUGGAGGACCGAACCGACUAGUGUUGCAAAAUUAGCGGAUGAGCUGUGGAUAGGGGUGAAAGGCCAAACAAAUCUGGAGAUAGCUGGUUCUCCCCGAAAACUAUUGAGGUAGUGCCUCGUGUGUCGCUCCAGGGGGUAGAGCACUGUUUUGGCUAGGGGGACAUGGAGUCUUACCAAACCAAGGCAAACUCCGAAUACCUGGAAGCGUGAGCACGGGAGACAGAGCACCGGGUGCUAACGUCCGGACUCAAAAGGGAAACAACCCAGACCGCCGGCUAAGGUCCCAAAUAACAGCUAAGUGGAAAACGAAGUGGAAAGGCCGUGACAACCAGGAAGUUGGCUUAGAAGCAGCCAUCCUUCAAAGAAAGCGUAAUAGCUCACUGGUCGAGUCCUUCUGCGCGGAAGAUGUAACGGGGCUAAGCUGUUAACCGAAGCCGCGGAUGCACUGGUAAUCCAGUGCGUGGUAGGGGAGCGUUCUGUAAGUCUGCGAAGGCGGUUCGAGAGGACUGCUGGAGAUAUCAGAAGUGCGAAUGCUGACAUGAGUAACGUUAAAGCAGGUGAAAAGCCUGCUCGCCGUAAGCCCAAGGAUUCCUGCUCUACGUUCAUCGGAGCAGGGUGAGUCGGCUCCUAAGGUCAGGCCGAAAGGCGUAGCCGAUGGGAAUCAGGUUAAUAUUCCUGAACCUGCGUCAGAUGCGAUGGGGGGACGGAGCAUGGAAGAUCAUCCGGGUGUUGGAAGUCCCGGUUGUUGAGCGUAGGAGGUCUGCAGGCAAAUCCGCAGACGCAUCUCCAAGGCAAAGACACGUGCCGCCACGGCGGCGAAGUGAUCGGAAGUGCUUCCAAGAAAAGCCUCUAAGCUUCAGUCUGAUGCGGACCGUACCGCAAACCGACACUGGUGGGCGAGCUGAAUAUGCUCAGGCGCUUGAGAGAACUCGGGAGAAGGAACUCGGCAAAUUGACACCGUAACUUCGGAAGAAGGUGUGCCGUAGUACCGUGAGAGGAGAGACACCUUGAGCGGGAAACGGUCUCAGAGAAUAGGUGGCUGCGACUGUUUAUUAAAAACACAGCACUCUGCAAAGUCGAAAGACGACGUAUAGGGUGUGAUGCCUGCCCGGUGCUGGAAGAUUAAUUGAUGGGGUGAGAGCCCUUGAUCGAAGUCCCAGUAAACGGCGGCCGUAACUAUAACGGUCCUAAGGUAGCGAAAUUCCUUGUC
rnacentral:rRNA from 1 species